GAUGAACGCUGGCGGCGUGCCUAAUACAUGCAAGUCGAGCGAACAGACGAGGAGCUUGCUCCUCUGACGUUAGCGGCGGACGGGUGAGUAACACGUGGAUAACCUACCUAUAAGACUGGGAUAACUUCGGGAAACCGGAGCUAAUACCGGAUAAUAUAUUGAACCGCAUGGUUCAAUAGUGAAAGACGGUUUUGCUGUCACUUAUAGAUGGAUCCGCGCCGCAUUAGCUAGUUGGUGAGGUAACGGCUUACCAAGGCAACGAUGCGUAGCCGACCUGAGAGGGUGAUCGGCCACACUGGAACUGAGACACGGUCCAGACUCCUACGGGAGGCAGCAGUAGGGAAUCUUCCGCAAAGGGCGAAAGCCUGACGGAGCAACGCCGCGUGAGUGAUGAAGGUCUUCGGAUCGUAAAACUCUGUUAUUAGGGAAGAACAAAUGUGUAAGUAACUAUGCACGUCUUGACGGUACCUAAUCAGAAAGCCACGGCUAACUACGUG
rnacentral:rRNA from 1 species